UACGUAGGGUGCGAGCGUUAAUCGGAAUUACUGGGCGUAAAGCGUGCGCAGGCGGUUUUGUAAGCCAGGUGUGAAAGCCCCGGGCUCAACCUGGGAAUGGCAUUUGGGACUGCAAGGCUGGAGUGUGGCAGAGGAGACUGGAAUUCCCGGUGUAGCAGUGAAAUGCGUAGAUAUCGGGAGGAAUACCGAUGGCGAAGGCAGGUCUCUGGGCUAUAACUGACGCUCAUGCACGAAAGCGUGGGGAGCAAACAGG
rnacentral:rRNA from 1 species